rnacentral:pre_miRNA from 1 species
AAAAUACUCCCUCCGUCCCAAAAUAAGUGUCUCAAGCCUAAUACAAGUUUGUACUAGUGCUAGUACAAAGUUGAGACACUUAUUUUGGGACGGAGGGAGUAUAAC